rnacentral:rRNA from 1 species
AAUAGAUACCCAGGUAGUCCACGCCGUAAACGAUGAGUGCUAAGUGUUAGAGGGGUUUCCGCCCUUUAGUGCUGCAGCUAACGCAUUAAGCACUCCGCCUGGGGAGUACGGCCGCAAGGCUGAAACUCAAAGGAAUUGACGGGGGCCCGCACAAGCGGUGGAGCAUGUGGUUUAAUUCGAAGCAACGCGAAGAACCUUACCAGGUCUUGACAUCCUCUGCCAACCCUAGAGAUAGGGCGUUCCCCUUCGGGGGACAGAGUGACAGGUGGUGCAUGGUUGUCGUCAGCUCGUGUCGUGAGAUGUUGGGUUAAGUCCCGCAACGAGCGCAACCCUUGAUCUUAGUUGCCAGCAUUCAGUUGGGCACUCUAAGGUGACUGCCGGUGACAAACCGGAGGAAGGUGGGGAUGACGUCAAAUCAUCAUGCCCCUUAUGACCUGGGCUACACACGUGCUACAAUGGAUGGUACAAAGAGCAGCGAACCCGCGAGGGUAAGCCAAUCUCAUAAAGCCAUUCUCAGUUCGGAUUGUAGG